CGUAGGGGGCAAGCGUUGUCCGGAUUUACUGGGCGUAAAGCGCGUGUAGGUGGGAGCGUCAGUCUGGUGGGAAAGCCCACGGCUCAACCGUGGAAGUUCGCUGGAAACUGCGCUUCUUGAGGGUGAUAGAGGGAAGUGGAAUUGCUGGUGUAGCGGUGAAAUGCGUAGAUAUCAGCAGGAACACCCGUGGCGAAGGCGGCUUCCUGGAUCACCCCUGACGCUGAGACGCGAAAGCGUGGGGAGCGAACGGGAUUAGAUACCCCGGUAGUCCACGCCGUAAAACGAUGGUCACUAGGUGUAUGGGGGUAUCGACCCCCCAUGUGCCGCAGCUAACGCAAUAAGUGACCCGCCCUGGGGAGGUACGGCCGCAAGGUUG
rnacentral:rRNA from 1 species